rnacentral:rRNA from 1 species
UACGUAGGGGGCUAGCGUUGUCCGGAUUUAUUGGGCGUAAAGCGUGCGCAGGCGGUCAUGCAGGACAGAUGUGAAAUCCCCGGGCUCAACCUGGGAACUGCAUUUGUGACUGCAUGGCUGGAGUGCGGCAGAGGGGGGAUGGAAUUCCGCGUGUAGCAGUGAAAUGCGUAGAUAUGCGGAGGAACAUCGAUGGCGAAGGCAAUCCCCUGGGCCUGCACUGACGUCAUGCACGAAAGCGUGGGGAGCAAACAGG